CGCGUGAGUAACCUGCCUUUCAGAGGGGAAUAACAUUCUGAAGAGAAUGCUAAUACCGCAUAACAUCGUAGUAUCGCAUGGUACAGCGAUCAAAGGAGCAAUCCGCUGAAAGAUGGACUCGCGUCCGAUUAGCUAGUUGGCGGGAUAACGGCCUACCAAGCCGACGAUCAGUAGCCGACCUGAGAGGGUGACCGGCCACAUUGGGACUGAGACACGGCCCAA
rnacentral:rRNA from 1 species